UACGUAGGGGGCAAGCGUUGUCCGGAUUUAUUGGGCGUAAAGAGCGUGUAGGCGGUUCGGUAGGUCCGUUGUGAAAACUCGAGGCUCAACCCCGAGACGCCGAUGGAAACCCUCGAACUAGAGUCCGGAAGAGGAGAGUGGAAUUCCCGGUGUAGCGGUGAAAUGCGCAGAUAUCGGGAAGAACACCCGUGGCUAAGGCGGCUCUCUAGUACGGUACUGACGCUGAGACGCGAAAGCGUGGGGAGCGAACAGG
rnacentral:rRNA from 1 species